rnacentral:rRNA from 1 species
UGGGGAAUAUUGCGCAAUGGGGGCAACCCUGACGCAGCCAUGCCGCGUGAAUGAAGAAGGCCUUCGGGUUGUAAAGUUCUUUCGGUAGCGAGGAAGGCAUUUAGUUUAAUAAACUAAGUGAUUGACGUUAACUACAGAAGAAGCACCGGCUAACUCCGUGCCAGCAGCCGCGGUAAUACGGAGGGUGCGAGCGUUAAUCGGAAUAACUGGGCGUAAAGGGCACGCAGGCGGUGACUUAAGUGAGGUGUGAAAGCCCCGGGCUUAACCUGGGAAUUGCAUUUCAUACUGGGUCGCUAGAGUACUUUAGGGAGGGGUAGAAUUCCACGUGUAGCGGUGAAAUGCGUAGAGAUGUGGAGGAAUACCGAAGGCGAAGGCAGCCCCUUGGGAAUGUACUGACGCUCAUGUGCGAAAGCGUGGGGAGCAAACAGGAUUAGAUACCCUGGUAGUCCACGCUGUAAACGAUGUCGAUUUGGGGGUUGAACUAUAAGUUUGGCGCCCGUAGCUAACGUGAUAAAUCGACCGCCUGGGGAGUACGGCCGCAAGGUUA